rnacentral:rRNA from 1 species
UACGAAGGGAGCUAGCGUUGUUCGGAAUUACUGGGCGUAAAGCGCGCGCAGGCGGUCUUCCAAGUCAGUGGUGAAAGCCCGGAGCUCAACUCCGGAAAUGCCAUUGAAACUGUGAGACUGGAGUACGAGAGAGGUGAGUGGAAUUCCCAGUGUAGAGGUAAAAUUCGUAGAUAUUGGGAAGAACACCGGUGGCGAAGGCGGCUCACUGGCUCGUAACUGACGCUCAGGCGCGACAGCGUGGGGAUCGAAACAGG